rnacentral:rRNA from 1 species
GAUCCUGGCUCAGGAUGAACGCUAGCGACAGGCUUAACACAUGCAAGUCGAGGGGCAGCAUAAAAGUAGCAAUACUUGGUGGCGACCGGCGCACGGGUGAGUAACGCGUAUGCAACCUACCUAUCAGAGGGGAAUAACCCGGCGAAAGUCGGACUAAUACCGCAUAAAACAGGGGCACCGCAUGGUGAUAUUUGUUAAAGAAAUUCGCUGAUAGAUGGGCAUGCGUUCCAUUAGGUAGUUGGUGAGGUAACGGCUCACCAAGCCGACGAUGGAUAGGGGAACUGAGAGGUUGGUCCCCCACACUGGUACUGAGACACGGACCAGACUCCUACGGGAGGCAGCAGUGAGGAAUAUUGGUCAAUGGGCGAGAGCCUGAACCAGCCAAGUCGCGUGAAGGAAGAAGGAUCUAUGGUUCGUAAACUUCUUUUGCAGGGGAAUAAAGUGCAGGACGUGUCCUGUUUUGUAUGUACCCUGAGAAUAAGGAUCGGCUAACUCCGUGCCAGCAGCAGC